CUGGAUGAACGCUGACAGAAUGCUUAACACAUGCAAGUCUACUUGAAUUCUCUUCGGAGAUAGUAAGGUGGCGGACGGGUGAGUAACACGUAAAGAACUUGCCUUGCAGUCUGGGACAACGUCUGGAAACGGACGCUAAUACCGGAUAUUAUGGUUGAAUCGCAUGAUUUGAUUAUGAAAGCUAUAUGCGCUGCGAGAGAGCUUUGCGUCCCAUUAGUUAGUUGGUGAGGUAACGGCUCACCAAGACGAUGAUGGGUAGCCGGCCUGAGAGGGUGAACGGCCACAAGGGGACUGAGACACGGCCCUUACUCCUACGGGAGGCAGCAGUGGGGAAUGUUGGACAAUGGACCAAAAGUCUGAUCCAGCAAUUCUGUGUGCACGAUGAAGUUUUUCGGAAUGUAAAGUGCUUUCAGUUGGGAAGAAGAAAGUGACGGUACCAACAGAAGAAGCGACGGCUAAAUACGUGCCAGCAGCCGCGGUAAUACGUAUGUCGCAAGCGUUAUCCGGAUUUAUUGGGCGUAAAGCGCGUCUAGGCGGUUUGGUAAGUCUGAUGUGAAAAUGCGGGGCUCAACUCCGUAUUGCGUUGGAAACUGCCAAACUAGAGUACUGGAGAGGUAGGCGGAACUACAAGUGUAGAGGUGAAAUUCGUAGAUAUUUGUAGGAAUGCCGAUGGGGAAGCCAGCCUACUGGACAGAUACUGACGCUAAAGCGCGAAAGCGUGGGUAGCAAACAGGAUUAGAUACCCUGGUAGUCCACGCCGUAAACGAUGAUUACUAGGUGUUGGGGGUCGAACCUCAGCGCGCAAGCUAACGCGAUAAGUAAUCCGUCUGGGGAGUACGUACGCAAGUAUGAAACUCAAAGGAAUUGACGGGGACCCGCUCAAGCGGUGGAGCAUGUGGUUUAAUUCGACGCAACGCGAGGAACCUUACCAGCGUUUGACAUCCCAAGAAGUUAACAGAGAUGUCUUGGAGCUUGUUGGGAGGAACUUGGCGACAGGUGGCGCAUGGCUGUCGUCAGAUAGAGUCGUGAGAUGUUGGGUUAAGUCUCGCAACGAGCGCAACCCCCUUCGUAUGUUACCAUCAUUAAGUUGGGGACUCAUGCGAGACUGCCUGAGAGAGAUGCAGGAGGAA
rnacentral:rRNA from 1 species